CCUACGGGAGGCACCAGUGGGGAAUAUUGCACAAUGGGCGCAAGCCUGAUGCAGCCAUGCCGCGUGUGUGAAGAAGGCCUUCGGGUUGUAAAGCACUUUCAGCGGGGAGGAAGGUAGUGUAGUUAACACCUGCAUUAUUUGACGUUACCUACAGAAGAAGCACCGGCUAACUCCGUGCCAGCAGCCGCGGUAAUACGGAGGGUGCGAGCGUUAAUCGGAAUUACUGGGCGUAAAGCGCAUGCAGGCGGCCUGUUAAGUCAGAUGUGAAAGCCCGGGGCUUAACCUCGGAAUUGCAUUUGAAACUGGCAGGCUAGAGUCUUGUAGAGGGGGGUAGAAUUUCAGGUGUAGCGGUGAAAUGCGUAGAGAUCUGAAGGAAUACCAGUGGCGAAGGCGGCCCCCUGGACAAAGACUGACGCUCAGAUGCGAAAGCGUGGGGAGCAAACAGGAUUAGAUACCCGGGUAGUC
rnacentral:rRNA from 1 species